ACCUACGCGCUAGGGUGCUGAGUCCCCUGAUCAAAACUUCCUGGCUCUGCCGACUCUUCCUCUACAACAUCAAUUACAAAUCACAAACUAAAUCAUUUAAUAUUUAAAUAUUCCAAACCAUAAUUGAUAUUUACUAUGGGGUCCAUAACCAGAUCCCCAAACAUCUCAAUCUCUCCAAGUCUAGGGCAGUCGGGGUGGCCCGACUCCCACCCUUGUACCACCGGCCCAUGUCGUCGCCAGCCGUGGCCGGUUCCGAUGAAAAGACCAAAAGAAGGGUGGAUGAUAGAGAAGGGUUCUUCCUCCACCUCUUUGGUCCAAGGCAACAGCCGGGGUGGCUGUGCCCUCACCUUCCCCACCCUCGGCCACCAUUGGCCGAACCAUCGCCGGCCGCCCCUGCUGCAGUCACCGGCGAUGGUGGCCGGCCAAGAGAAAGAGAGAAGAAGAAGUCUCUUCCUCUU
rnacentral:lncRNA from 1 species